GCAGUUCCUCACCUACCUUCUCUGCUCACCGCUGUGUGCUAGCAAUCGGAGGACCCUUGGCACACGGAGCGACAGGGGCCUCCCCCACAGACACCUCAUUUUGGGAAAGAAGUGAGCAAUUUAUUGAGUCUUAAAAAAUACAAAGGCAUAGUUCCCCUUAAUCUAUCAGGCUUCCAGCUCUAAAGAAUGUCUCUAGUAUUGCGGGGUGGGGCUGCGCUUAAAAACGCAGACGCUUUGGUUUUAGUACCAGCAACGUUAAAAAUCUUCUAUCUUGUAUGAGUGAAUGUGUAUCCCUUGUGAUCAGUUAUUUGCAUUUGCAGUUACACCUUCAUUCAGCUAAUUGCUGUCUUGAUUUGAAUCCAGGUUCUAGAAUGUACUAGCUCCGAAACCUCAGGCAAGUUAAAUGUUUUUGUGCUUCAUUUUCCUAAUCCACAAAGUGGCAAUAGAAGAAUUUAUCUCUUUAGGUUUUGUCUUGAGGAUUAAAACCGUUAAUACUUAGAGCUGUGCCUGGUAAAUGGCAAGCCUUUAUAUUAAGAUCUGGACCGUUCUGUGCUUUGAAGUGUAUGACCUAAAGCAGAUGUAGGCAUUCUAUAAGUAACACUAGCAUAAAGGUGUAUGGUAAAUUCUAGAGGUGAAAACACUCCCAACAUAUUUUAGGUCUGAUCAUUUAAUUUUGAGGUAAUUUCUGAAAGGGCUAGAGGAGAAAGUGACAUUUAAGUUGUGUUUGAUAAAUGAUAGUAUUUUAACUGGCCAGCCUCUUGGGGGAAGUGCAUUCGGAAUGGCUUGAUCAAAGGCUCAAGAAGCCCAAGGUGCAUUUGGAAAACUGUAAGCAAGGUUUGUGUAGAUGAGUUGUAGAAAUAUAUAUAGACAGGCUGACACCACAUCGUGGAAACAGUAAACACUAGCAUAUUAAUUAGAAUAUUUUUUCCCUCAAGUAACAAAAAACCAAUUCCAAGUGGCUGAAAUAAUAAGGAAUUCAUUAUUUUACACUCCCCAGGUUGGUUAACCUGGAGGGUAACUUGGGGGCUCAGCACAUUAUCAACAACACGUUUUUUCCCCUACCUUUCCACUCUGUCACCUGGGUUGUUGGCUUCAACAAAGUAGUAAUAGAAGUAUCUGCUCUUUUGUCUUUAUUGGAAGAGCAAAACCCCCUCGUAAACUCCCAACUGACCAGAAUUACAUCAUAUUGAUUUAAGCUUAGGAUCUAUAUAAGACCACCAUAUUUGGAUUAGACCAGGUAACCGGUCUUUCUAGGCCUCCAAGAAACACUUGGCCAGGGAGGAGGAGAACAAAUUCUGUUAGGAGGAUGUUGGGGCAGAAUUGAGUGGGUAUUAAGUGGGUAAACAAUAGUGCUAUACCAGCCACAG
rnacentral:lncRNA from 1 species